UGGGAAAUGUUCUCUUCAGAUGUUUCACAA
rnacentral:piRNA from 1 species